rnacentral:rRNA from 1 species
ACGGAAGGUAGCAGUGAGGAAUAUUGGUCAGUGGGCGCAAGCCUGAACUAGCCAAGUAGCGUGAAGGAUGACUGCCCUAUGGGUUGUAAACUUCUUUUAUAUGGGAAUAAAGUGAGCCACGUGUGGUUUUUUGUAUGUACCAUAUGAAUAAGCAUCGGCUAAUUCCGUGCCAGCAGCCGCGGUAAUACGGAAGAUGCGAGCGUUAUCCGGAUUUAUUGGGUUUAAAGGGAGCGUAGGCGGGUCCUUAAGUCAGUGGUCAAAGCGUGUGGCUCAACCAUACCACGCCGUUGAUACUGGGGACCUUGAGUGCACAUAAGGAUGGUGGAAUUCGUCGUGUAGCGGUGAAAUGCUUAGAUAUGACGAAGAACUCCGAUUGCGAAGGCAGCUGUCCGGGGUGUAACUGACGCUAAUGCUCGAAAGUGCGGGUAUCAAACAGGAUUAGAUACCCUGGUA